ACAAGUGGGGUGCACUUUGGACCUCAAACACACACACACACACACACACACACACACACACACACACACACACACACACAAACACACAGCCUUUCCUUCAGAUCAAUACAAUUAUUACAGUGUCCCUGCAGUAUAGAGGGUGUGUAGUGAAGCCCCUCUAACACAAUCAUGCGCUCUGAAAAUGAGCUUCUCUCCGCUCGUUCAAUCAGCGCUGUGUCUGUGGACUCCAAGUGAUGCCGGCCAAGUGGAAUAUGUGCGCAGACUGAGAACGACCGCCCCUGUCUGCGAAGAGGGAGAGAGAGAGGUAUGGAAGGAUGGAGAGAGGGAGGGGAGGGAGGACAGAGGAUUACACAGAGAUGCGCUCAAGCCUCACAGCUCCGUACUGAACAGGUUGUCAAAAAGAGCAGCGGUGCUUCACUCCACUCAUUCUCACCUCCCGCUCUCCCAGUCUCUCUGAAAACAGGUUUCAACUGUUUCGGGUUCGGCAAGGUUUCUUCCAGGAGUCAGAGGAGGAGUGGCGUUGGUUUUCGUGUUCCUCUCUAUUGUCCACUCUAUGAUGGAGUUCGCCAGCUGCGGUGCCACCGAUCCGCCUGUGCCAAUUAGAAGUGAAAGGAGGCUCCCAAAGUUUUAGGCCUAAUGGAGGGGCUCCGUGGACCAAUUAUUUAUGACAGCAAAAACAGACUGACUGUUGACCCCCCCGUCUCUCUCUCUCUCCUAUCUUAUCUCUCUCUCACACACACAUAUUAGGAGCCGUACUUCUCCCCUCUUAUGUAUUUCUCCACUCCUUUGCCGGCGAUUUUUACUUCCCAUUGUGGCCACGUGGGGGCGUGUUUCAGCUCAUCACUAAUAUCGGGAUGUGUGUGUGUGUGUGUGUGUGUGUGUGUGUGUGUGUGUGUGUGUGUGUGUGUGUGUGUGUGUGUUGAUGGGGUCUGAAAUCAGCGUCCUUUGUAAAGGGCCCUUGUAUUUCUGGCCUCUCCACGAGAGAUGCUGGUUCAUCACAAAGCGGUGACUCUGUGUGCAGCUGGAUAGAGUGAAGCAAACACUUAAAAUAUCAAACAGCCUGUUUAUCAGAGUAGAGCAAGCAAUCUGUUAUAUUGGAUCUGGAUAUUCAGUGCCUUUAUUUAUACAUGCAGUGCAGUUGUUAUAUGUUACUUUUUUUCAUAAGGAUUACUGUCUUAAUUUUAAAAAAAAAAGGUUGUUUAAUUAUGUGAUGAUAUAUAUUUCUUUCUUUCUUUAUUUUUGUUUUUACCCAUAUCUGUUAAGAACAAAAUGUCUCUUUAUCUAGUUACACAAAGAGUGGGUGAUAAUAACAAGAUGUUGAAGAAAGAAUGUCUUCGUAAAGAGAAAGUUACUACUAGAAAUAAUAAAAAACUUUAGCACAGCAGUCGGUGUAGUCAUGAGGAUUAUGGUUGAAUCCUUGAAAACAGAAAGAUAUUGAACUGUCCAGUUUCAUUUUGUCCAACUCAUUUAAUGCAUGGCUAGUUUUCCUUAUUCAAAUACUUCUGUGUGACAAAGAAAUAAAUCCAGAUUUUGACCUUGA